GCCAGAGCCAUAUCACCUUGCAGUUCUUGCUUGGUUUCCCACUGAAGCUAAGCAGGGUUGAGCCUGGCCAGUACCUGGAUUUGAGAUCUCCUGGGAAAAACUAAGGUUGCUGCUGGAA
rnacentral:rRNA from 1 species